rnacentral:rRNA from 1 species
GACGAACGCUGGCGGCGUGCUUAACACAUGCCAGUCGAACGGAAAGGCCCUGCUUUUGUGGGGUGCUCGAGUGGCGAACGGGUGAGUAACACGUGAGUAACCUGCCCUUGACUUUGGGAUAACUUCAGGAAACUGGGGCUAAUACCGGAUAGGAGCUCCUGCUGCAUGGUGGGGGUUGGAAAGUUUCGGCGGUUGGGGAUGGACUCGCGGCUUAUCAGCUUGUUGGUGGGGUAGUGGCUUACCAAGGCUUUGACGGGUAGCCGGCCUGAGAGGGUGACCGGCCACAUUGGGACUGCGAUACGGCCCAGACUCCUACGGGAGGCAGCAGUGGGGAAUAUUGCACAAUGGGCGGAAGCCUGAUGCAGCAACGCCGCGUGCGGGAUGACGGCCUUCGGGUUGUAAACCGCUUUCGCCUGUGACGAAGCGUGAGUGACGGUAAUGGGUAAAGAAGCACCGGCUAACUACGUG